rnacentral:rRNA from 1 species
CGGCAUGCCUAAGACAUGCAAGUCGAACGAAGUAGUCCAAUGAAGAUGGAGUGCUUGCACAAAAUUGGAAUUGGGUUGCUACUUAGUGGCAGACGGGUGAGUAACACGUGGGUAACCUACCUUAGAGACUGGGAUAACGGUUAGAAAUGAUCGCUAAUACCGGAUGAUACGUAAUUAGAUAACUAGAUACGUUAAAAGGAGCAUUUGCUUCACUUUAAGAUGGGCUUGCGUUGUAUUAGCUAGUUGGUGGGGUAAUGGCCUACCAAGGCAACGAUGCAUAUCCGAGCUGAGAGGCUGAUCGGACACACUGGGACUGAGACACGGCCCAGACUCCUACGGGAGACAGCAGUUAGGAAUAUUCGUCAAUGGGGGAAACCCUGAACGAGCAAUGCCGCGUGAGUGAUGAAGGCCCUAUGGGUUGUAAAACUCUGUUGUAAAGGAAGAAUACCUAGUAUAGGAAAUGAUGCUAGGAUGACGGUACUUUACCAGAAAGCCCCGGCUAACUACGUG